CUGUCUGCUGGUUGCUGGUGCUGUUUGCCCGGGUUGUUUGGGCAAACAGCUCGGGCAAACAGUCUGUUUUCCCUGUUGCCUGCGCACUGCUGGCCUGUUUGCCCAGUCUGUUUGGGCAAACAGUCUGAUUUUUGUGCUCUGCUUCUGCCCUGCUAAUCUGUUUGCCUAGUCUGUUUGGGCAAACAGUCUGGUCAAACAGCAGAUUGUUCCUCUUCUAUUUCAGCUUCAACUUUGGUUUGGGCAAACAAUUUGGGCAAACCAUGCUUGUGCAAUUUUGCUCUCUUUUGGGCAGAUUUAAGGCCAUUUUUGCCAAAUUACCAUUUU
rnacentral:lncRNA from 1 species